GAUGUUGGUUAAGUCCCGCAACGAGCGCAACCCUUAUCUUUAAUUGCCAGCAUUCAGUUGGGCACUUUAAAGAGACUGCCGGUGUUAAACCGGAGGAAGGUGGGGAUGACGUCAAGUCCUCAUGGCCUUUAUGCUUAGGGCUACACACGUGCUACAAUGGGUGGUACAAAGAGAAGCCAACUCGCGAGAGCGCGCCAAUCUCAAAAAGCCAUCCUCAGUUCGGAUUGGAGUCUGCAACUCGACUCCAUGAAGUUGGAAUCGCUAGUAAUCGCGGAUCAGCACGCCCGCGGUCCGAAUACGUUCCGGGCCUU
rnacentral:rRNA from 1 species